AGCGGAAUGCGAUAAGUAAUGUGAAUUGCAGAAUUCAGUGAAUCAUNNAAUCUUUGAACGCACCUUGCGCCCCUUGGUAUUCCGAGGGGCAUGCCUGUUUGAGUGUC
rnacentral:rRNA from 1 species